UUGGGGUAAGCAAAAUAGCAUGGAAGACAUAUUGAAAAGGUCCAUGCUGAUGUAUGUUUUAGCAGAACCUGAGAUUUAUCUGCGUGGCUAUGCCAUGCCGUGGUAAGGGAUGGGUCGGGAAGGUAUUUAAACCCUCACUGAGCCUCAUGGGUUUUAAAAUGAAAGAGUGCAAGUAGGAUUUCUAAAGUCUCUUCAGUAAUCAGUCCAGGCCUGAAAGCCACAAGGCCAGGCGGCCAUCCACCAGAACCUGCUGCCCGCACAGGGCCUGAGACCCCGUCGCAUCACGGAGCUCUGCAGAUGUCUGGCAGGUGGGUUCCCUCCUGGACCACAGCUGAGCUGGAUGGUAAUGGAUAAAAUCGCCAUCUGUGAAGGUAGGACCUUUCUCUGUCUUGUAUGGCCUGAGCUGUGAACGAGGAAGAAGACACUCAUUUGUUGAACAUGUAUUUCUUUGGCACCAUCUAUGUGUCAGUAAAUAAACCAGAUAAAAUUGCCUGCUCCUGGGGGUUUCCAUUUGACACAAAAGCAUAGGAACUUCCCCUCUGUGUUCAUUUCCUGGGGCUGCUGUAACAAAGUACCGCAAAUUGGGUGGCUUAAACAACAGAAACGUAUUUUCACCCAGUUCUGGAAGCUGGCAAUCUGAGAUCAAGGUCUUGGCAUCGUGGUUCCUUCUGGGGACUGCAAGGGAGAAUCUGUUCCGUGCCUGUCUCCCAGCUUCUGGUGGUGCACUGGCCAUCUUUGGUCUUCCUUGGCUUCCUGAUGCAGCGUCCCAUCCCUGCCUUCAUCUUCUCCCUGUGUGUCUGUCAGUGUCCAAAUUUCCCUUUUCGUAAGGAUGUCAGUCGUAUUGGAUUAGAGCCCACCCUAAUGACCUCAUUAACUUGAUUAUCUAUGAAAAGAUUCCAUCUCCAAAAAAGUCACAUUCUGAGGUACUGAGGGUUAGGAUGCUAACAUAUCUUUUUUUUUUUUUUUUUUUUUGAGGGAGGGUAGACACGAUUCAGUUUAUGACACCCUCUAGAGAAAAGCCUAGGAAAGUAUGGAGGAGAGUCAUUUGCCCUUGAGGUACCUACCUGGUAUCUCCUGCUUCUUCAAGGUCUCAUGUGAAUGCACCUGAUUGGUGGAGCCUAUAUCAUGUGCCUCUUUGCUGCAAGGCAGGCUGGGAAAUCAAGUUUCUGGCUUCUACCUUGGGGAGGCAUGGACCUCUACUGUAGGAUUUUCCCCAGAUAUAGGAAGAACCUUCGAAGGAUUCAUGCGAAGAUGGCCACAAAGCACAACAGAAAUGCUAUGCAGAGAUGGAAGGAGAUGGAAAGUGGAAGAAAAGCCUCCCCAGCCAGUGCUCAGGGAAGGCAGAUGCGUGCCAUGAGCUGGACGGAACUACCCCUGAGUGGCAUGUACAUCGUCACACUCUCUGAGUCAAGGUGGGUGUGGUGCUGGCCUGAGACACACUGACAAAGUCCUUGGGAAUCCUGGGAGAGAGGUAUGGGAAGGGGCGGGGGGUGGGAAGGAGGAGCGAGCCUGCUGCUAGAGUCCGGGAGGUUCAGCCCAGGAGGCCCCGCCUGGUGUGCCUGAGGAAGGCCUACGUCACGGCACUGGCUUCUGAGCUUCCAGACUCAGCUGGGCUGGGCAGCAGGAAGCCUGUUUCCCUGCAAGGGCAGGGAGGGCCCAAGCCAGUCCCUUGCCAGGGUGCUGCCUGGAGAGGACCGGCAUUUUUCCACGAAAUCUUCUCCGGUGACCUAGAGUUGGGCCUCGGAGGGACCAGGUGGCUGCCAGGGCAAGACCCUGCAAGCUGAGGUGCAUUUGAACACCUCAGCUGUGGCAAAGGUGGCUCAGGUACCUGCCACCUGCCCAGAGGCAGAGACCCGGGACUUCUGUGCCCGCCCUGGAGGAGCCCUUGCCCCUCCCUACUCCUGUGACCCUGGACAUUGGAACGUUGCUAUUUCUUUUAACUUUUUGCACAAGGAGGCAAAAGUAGACAGGAUACGUUCUUAUAUCCCCAAGCAUACCCAAACUGGAGGCUCCCCUGGGGCCCUGGCCCAAUGGAUCGGGCCUCAGACCUCACAUCCUCCAAGUCCAGAACACAAUUUCAAGAAUAUGCAUGCGCUGGGAGUGUUUCCCAUUCACCGGUGAGCCCGAUUAAUACAUAUUUGUAAAACAUGAGAAGCACUAACGCCUUGCGUGUACCCUCAUGUCCGGUUGUCUCCCCACAGAUAAGAUGUAGAGAAAAAGGACAUUCUCAGAAUUUAAAGAAUGAGGUGUGGCCAGGGUUAAAAUACAAGGUGGCCUAUUAAAUUUGAAAGCCAGAUAAAACAAGGAAUAUUUUGUUAGUAGAAGUAUGUUCCAAAGACUGCAUGGGAUAUAUCUAUCCUAAAACAAUUAUUCGUUGUUUCUCUGACACUCAAAUUUAACUGUUCAUUGUGUAUUUGUAUUUGUUCAAUUUGGCAACCUUGAGUAGGUGUUAUCCAUAUCCACCCCAGUAGGGGAAGAUAGAGGGGAGAAUUCUAGAAAAGAGGCUGGUAGGCCUAUGCCAAAUCACGGGGACUCCAGGGAGGCCAGGCCCCCCCCGGCCCUGCUCCCGGGCUGCUGCAGUGGGGCCCUGGGAAGCAGCUCUGGGCCUCUUCUUGGAGCCCUGUCUCCCUGGACAGAAGAGGCAGGGCCCAACGGCUGCAGAAGGAAGCCUUGAAAGCAACCUGAAAACAGUUCUUCUCUGGGCAGUUGCCAGUGCAGGAGAAGAUAGGCUCAGGGCAUUUGGCAACAUGUCCGGCUUGUCUCCUACGGGCUUGAGGGGUCACACUGACUCCCAAGGGUAUGGAAACACGGCACCACGCCUCAGCUGACCCUCUAAGCUUCCUAGCCUACGCUGACCUCCCCUUCAGGUCUGGCUGUGUCAGCCCUGCCUCACACUGAAUUCCCCCACAUUCUCUGGGGCUGAGGUCACUGAAUAUCUCUGGGCCUUUCCUGCAAGGUUGGAGUGCCUACCCAGGGGCACGAGCUGGGUGAGUUAUUUGUGCACUGCACAAAGGUACCCUGGGAGGCGAAGUGUGGACACCUGUACCCAGGAACCUGGAGAAAGCACUGGGUGAGAGAGUCCGGCAGUCUCCUCCACAGGCCGGGGAGCCCCCCCCACCCCCACCCCCACCCGCAGGCCUGAGAGCCGCAGGUCCACCCCCCUCCCAGCCCCCCUGCUAUGCUAGCUCUGAUGCAGUAUAGGCCUCCUCAGGGCCUUUCCCAGGGCUGUGUGGGAGCUGCUCUUGUGUCCUUUCCCAGUGAACAGGGCAGGAGAGGGAGGGAGAAAGGGCAGGCCUGCUCUGGGAAGUUUCAAUUUGUAUGUUGGACCAGAGCAUUCACGGCAGUGCUGAGAAACAAAGGAAGGACGGCCUAUGAGCAGAACAUCUCUCUGAUCGUCUUGUGAGGUGCUUUUAAUCCCAUUUUUACAGAAGAUGAAACAGACCCAGAGAGGUUAUGGAACUUUCCUCAGGUCAUACAAUUAAUAAGUGGUCGGGGGUGGGGGAUAGGGGGCAGAAAUCCUACCCAGACUGCUCUGACUCCAAAAUCUGGGCCCAUUCUAUUCCAUUUGACUGCCCAGGAAAAUUCUGGUCUAGCUCAGGAGGAAAUAUCUACUGUCAACUCUGUUACUCUGUUAUUGUCAGGUUCCUGGCUUCCCCGUGACCUCCAAGACUUGGCUGUGACUGAAAUUUCCACUAGAAAAUAAUGCUGAAAGGACACAGCUGUGCUCCUCUGUGUCUACACCAGGAACUCCAUCUCCCGGGCUCUCAACCCUCCUCCCACAGAGCCGAGUGGGUGCUCAGGGCCAGGCUGUGGUGGUUUCAGCACACAGGGAAUUGUCCCCAGUCCCUGCCCUUGCACGACUCACCUGGUAAUUCCUGAGACUAAACACCACACUCCCUCGUGAUCAAACUCCUAAAUCUAACCGUGUGAUUGGUUGAGUUUGGUCAAAUUGUGGGAUAUAGGCCCCCCAUGACGUCCUCCCCACCUACAAGGAAUGCUGGGUGUUAUCCCCUCCACCUGAGCCCUCCUCAGAUCUCUCCGCACACAGGGAGUCAAGCCUUCCUUGUCUUCCCCUUUUGGCUUUCAGUGUUUCCAUUGCCCUCUGACUCUCACACCACCUCGCCUCACUAAUCUUCCCCCCCCUCAACACCUCACAGCAGUAAGAUGACAAAAGACUUCCAGUCCUGAGCAUGGUGGGGAAAAAGUGAGGGGAGGCUUGAGCAGGGUGAGCUGGGAGGGAAGAGAGAGAGUUCUCUUUCUCCUGAUCAUGAACGUCACUCAUGUAUUCGUUUGGUUGCCCUGAGUAUACGUUGGCUGGAUGGGGAAACACAGGAGGGGUUGGAGGCUGGGCUUGACGGCCCACACAGCUCUUUGCCCAAGGUCUGUUCAAAGAAGUGCGUUGUCUAUCAAGGAAGUCAUUAAAAUGGACUUCCAAGCCCUCCUUGCACUUCCUCUGCUGAGGCUCAACUCAGCUGUGCUUCUCAGAAGCGCCUUUCUUCCUUCACAUUCGUAGCUCCUCCAAGUUUCCAGAACCAUCCAGCCUACACCAUGUCUCUUCUUGGCUGGAGUGUGGGUUUCGGAGCCAGACUGCCUGAGUUCUAAUCCUGGCUCAGAAACUUAUCAGACUUGGGCAUGUGACUUAGUCUCUCUCUGCCUCAGAUCCCUUGACUCUGAUGUGGGUUGAGAACAUCUACUGACGCGUACUGCUUAAGGUUGUUGCAAGGACUGUCGUGGUAACAGUCCUAAAAGAUGGAAAGUAGCCUUGGCCCACGGCAGGCACCAUGGAAGUGUGGGUAGCGAUCAAUGUUGUUACUAUUAUGAUUAUUCUCUCUCCCCUUCCCUCUUACCCCACAUCUGCAGUUCGAUCUUUAUCACCCCACUGUCCUCCCAAAGCCUUGGCAGGCUGGCUGAGGGUGGCAUGGGUGGCUUGGAAAUCCUCAGAUGCUCACAUGGCAGGGAACCUGUGCCGGGUGUUGGAGAAGCCGUGGGGACCCUGCAGAUGAUCCUUAGGUGGACAGGAGAGCCGGCCUCCACUGCACUGGGAUGGAUGAGCGUCCUGGUUCCUGCACAGGAGGAAGUUUAUCUCCUGGUAGCAGGAGGGAACUUCUCCUUUAGGUCCAGUCUAGUUUGGAGGACAACUCAUCUGUCAGAAGCCUGCUGAGUGUGACCGGCUGGAGGUUGCAAUCAAGACACUCAGGCAACAGGACUCUGGUGGGUUGGCUGGUGGCCUCCCAAAAGGUAUGUCCGUGUCCUAAUCCCCCAAACCUGGGACUAUGAUCUUAUUUGGACAAAGGAUCUUUGCAGAUGUAAUCAGGAAUCCUGAGAUGAAAGCAUCAUGGAUUAUCCAGGGUGUACUAGGUCCAAUGACAAGUGUGCUUUGAGCAGAAGGUAAUUCACAGAUACGGACGAGAAGGCCAUGCGGAGACAGAGGCAAAGGUUGGAGUGAAGCGGCCUCGCACCAGAGAAGGCCUGGAGCCACCAGAAGCUGGACAAGGCCGGGAAGGAAGACUCUGGAGAGAGCAUGUGACACACUGCCUUUGAGCUUCUGUGAGAGAAUACAUUUCUGUUGUUUUAAGCCA